CCUACGGGUGACAGCAGUAGGGAAUCUUCCACAAUGUGCGACAGCCUGAUGGAGCAACGCCGCGUGGGUGACGAAGGUCGUCAGAACGUAAAACCCUGUUGUUAGAGAAGACAGUUCGUGCGCGUAACUGUUCACGUUUCGACGGUCUCUCACCAGAAAGCCACGGCUAACUACGUGCCAGCAGCCGCGGUAAUACGUAGGUGGCUAGCGUUAUCCGGAUUUAUUGGGCGUAAAGGGAACGCAGGCGGUCUGUUAAGUGUGAUGUGAAAGCCUUCGGCUUAACCGGAGUAGUGUAUUGGAAACUGGGAGACUUGAGUGCAGAAGAGGAAAGUGGAACUCGAAGUGUAGCGGUGAAA
rnacentral:rRNA from 1 species